rnacentral:rRNA from 1 species
GACGAACGCUGGCGGCGUGCCUAAUACAUGCAAGUAGAACGCACAGUUUAUACCGUAGCUUGCUACACCAUAGACUGUGAGUUGCGAACGGGUGAGUAACGCGUAGGUAACCUGCCUGGUAGCGGGGGAUAACUAUUGGAAACGAUAGCUAAUACCGCAUAAUAUUAAUUAUUGCAUGAUAAUUGAUUGAAAGAUGCAACUGCAUCACUACCAGAUGGACCUGCGUUGUAUUAGCUAGUAGGUGAGGUAACGGCUCACCUAGGCGACGAUACAUAGCCGACCUGAGAGGGUGAUCGGCCACACUGGGACUGAGACACGGCCCAGACUCCUACGGGCGGCAGCAGUAGGGAAUCUUCGGCAAUGGACGAAAGUCUGACCGAGCAACGCCGCGUGAGUGAAGAAGGUUGUCGGAUCGUAAAGCUCUGUUGUAAGAGAAGCACGGGUGUGAGAGUGGAAAGUUCACACUGUGACGGUAUCUUACCAGAAAGGGACGGCUAACUACGUG